rnacentral:rRNA from 1 species
CCGGGGAUAACAGGCUGAUACCGCCCAAGAGUUCAUAUCGACGGCGGUGUUUGGCACCUCGAUGUCGGCUCAUCACAUCCUGGGGCUGAAGCAGGUCCCAAGGGUAUGGCUGUUCGCCAUUUAAAGUGGUACGCGAGCUGGGUUUAGAACGUCGUGAGACAGUUCGGUCCCUAUCUGCCGUGGGCGCUGGAGAACUGAGGGGGGCUGCUCCUAGUACGAGAGGACCGGAGUGGACGCAUCACUGGUGUUCGGGUUGUCAUGCCAAUGGCACUGCCCGGUAGCUAAAUGCGGAAGAGAUAAGUGCUGAAAGCAUCUAAGCACGAAACUUGCCCCGAGAUGAGUUCUCCCUUGAGCCGACAUCGAGGUGCCAAACACCGCCGUCG